UACGUAGGGUGCAAGCGUUGUCCGGAAUUAUUGGGCGUAAAGGGCUCGUAGGCGGUCUGUCACGUCGGGAGUGAAAACUCAGGGCUUAACCCUGAGCCUGCUUCCGAUACGGGCAGACUAGAGGUAUGCAGGGGAGAAUGGAAUUCCUGGUGUAGCGGUGAAAUGCGCAGAUAUCAGGAGGAACACCGGUGGCGAAGGCGGUUCUCUGGGCAUUACCUGACGCUGAGGAGCGAAAGUGUGGGGAGCGAACAGG
rnacentral:rRNA from 1 species